UUAAUCAGGAACAGCUCGGUCACCAUUCUCACCAAUCACCGGCCCAUCUUCUUCCGGAAAGCCUUCCGGGCGACCUAACAGCCUUGAGCCUCUGCGCCUGCGCCCUAGAACCAGGCAGCGGCGCGGCUUCCCGCAGCCGGAAGUCCUCUCUAGUCCCCGCUCUGAGGGAGGCUCGGGAUCGGGACGCUUGCGACCCACCAUUUCUAUCGGUUAGGAAAUGAACGAAAUAGGCUUUUUAUUAAAAAGCGAAACUUCGUGCGUGGCGCCACGCCUCCUCUACGGUCACAGUUCAGCCCCGCGCAAGCCACACCCCUUACCCGUCAGCCCCCAGGGUCGGCAGGCAACGCGCCCCUGCCCCUCCGUCGCUCUGUCGUCAUCACGCCGCUGCGGAAGUCGCUCUGGGCGCUGAGCCACGCCUUCCCCGAGCGCUGACACGCCUCAGGCGGCCCUGGAUACCUGGAUUUCAGAUCACAUCUAACAUCUGGUACGGAAACUCUGGAAAGCAAGACGAUGGAUAGAGAGGCUAUUAUAUUUUAUUGUUCCAGGGGAAUCUGAAGCCCUCUUCUGACCUCCGCAG